CCCUUAGAUGUUCUGGGCCGCACGCGCGCUACACUGACGAAUGCAACGAGCUUAUAACCUUGGCCGAAAGGUCUGGGUAAUCUCCAAAUUUCGUCGUGAUGGGGAUAGAUUAUUGCAAUUAUUAAUCUUCAACGAGGAAUGCCUAGUAAGCGCAAGUCAUCAGCUUGCGUUAAUUACGUCCCUGCCCUUUGUACACACCGCCCGUCGCUCCUACCGAUUGAAUGGUCCGGUGAAGCGUUCGGACCGUGGCCUUUGGACGGUUCGCCGUCUGUUGGCUGCGGGAAGUUCGUUAAACCUUAUCAUUUAGAGGAAGGAGAAGUCGUAACA
rnacentral:rRNA from 1 species